rnacentral:rRNA from 1 species
GACAGAGGGUGCAAACGUUGUUCGGAAUUACUGGGCGUAAAGCGCGUGUAGGCUGCUUGGAAAGUCGGAUGUGAAAGCCUUGGGCUUAACCCAGGAAGUGCACUCGAAACUUCCGAGCUUGAGUUCUGGAGAGGGUGGCGGAAUUCUCGGUGUAGAGGUGAAAUUCGUAGAUAUCGAGAGGAACACCGGUGGCGAAGGCGGCUACCUGGACAGAAACUGACGCUGAGACGCGAAAGCGUGGGGAGCAAACAGG